UUGGGAAACCAUGGCUAAAACCGCAUAAGACCACGACAGGGCAUCCUGUUGUGAUCAAAAGGGGGGACCGCAAGGCCUCUUGCUUGAAGAUGAUCUCGCGUCCUAUCAGCUAGUUGGCGGGGUAAUGGCCCACCAAGGCUUUUGACGGGUAGCUGGACUGAGAGGUUGGUCAGCCGCAUUGGGAUUGAGACACUGCCCAGACUCCUACGGGAGGCUGCAGUCGAGGAUCUUUUGCAAUGCCCGAAAGGGUGACAAUGGGACGCCGCGUGUGCGAUGAAGGUUUUCGGAUCGUAAAGCACUGUCGACCGGGAUGAAUCUCAGGAGGCUUAAUAAGCUUUCAGUGUGACAGUACCGGUAGAGGAAGCCACGGCUAACUCCGUGCCAGCAGCCGCGGUAAUA
rnacentral:rRNA from 1 species